rnacentral:tRNA from 1 species
GGGGGUGUAGCUCAGUGGCACCGCGCCUGCCUGGCAAGCACAAAGUCCUGAGUUUGAUCCCCGGUACCCCCC